rnacentral:rRNA from 1 species
AUACGGAGGGGGCUAGCGUUGUUCGGAAUUACUGGGCGUAAAGCGUACGUAGGCGGACUGAUCAGUUGGGGGUGAAAUCCCAGGGCUUAACCCUGGAACUGCCUUCAAUACUGUCAGUCUUGAGUUUGGGAGAGGUGAGUGGAAUUCCUAGUGUAGAGGUGAAAUUCAUAGAUAUUAGGAGGAACACCAGUGGCGAAGGCGGCUCACUGUCCCAUUACUGACGCUGAGGUACGAAAGCGUGGAGAGCAAACAGGAUUAGAUACCCUAGUAGUCC